AUAUUGUCCAAUAACUUGUUAGGUUACUGUACAUAGAAAGGUAUGUAAUAUCUUGACAUACAAUGUUCCUGACAUCCAUAUGGUAGAUUGGAAACAAGAACAGUAAUUUAACAAUACGUGGCAGAUUCCAUAUCCCAUGCAUUAGAUUAGAUGUAUUGUAGUAUAUCCAUACAAUCUUGUAAAUCAGCAUUCUUGUUUACAGAAAUACAUUAUUUUCUCUUAAUC